GAUUAAUUGAUUUCUGAAGGUGGUUGCUUCAUGAGAUCUGGAUGUCUAGACCCUGUACUUCGCUCGCACGCCAAGCAACGUAAGAGAGAGGGAUAAAGAUCUUCUUCAAAAAGGAAGGAGGAGAGAGUUUUGAGAUUUGAUCUCGAUGCCUUAAAGAACUCCACACGCCACCAUGCCAAAGAGAUGGGACGCCCAAGGGGAC
rnacentral:lncRNA from 1 species